GCAUACUUCUCCCAUGGACCACACACCACUUGGCACCUAAAGAAGAAAAGAGAGGGGACCAGAACCAGAUGGCACCCCCGGCCUUACCGUGGGCCUCCUGUGGCGAUGCCACUGUCUCCAUCUUCCCAGCCCUGGCUGCAAUUCUGGACCAGGAGGCAAACACGGAAUCUGGGGCCGAAGUGGUCACAACAACAGUAUUGACCCCCUCCAGGAGAGCAUCAGACCCCUCAGCGGGGGCAGCCACUUCAGGAGGGUUGGGAUUGGCCAGCCAGGUAGUCUUCCCCCGACUUCGUGGAGCCCUGCCGGCGACAGAGGAGCCAGUCACUCUUCCCACCACCGCACACACUACCUGCCUCAAGAUAACUCGCAUCCACGGCGCCAGCAUGGUCCCUAUCCACCACUGGCAUGUGGAUUCUCCUCUGGGAAAUCACCUUAACCUCAGGUUUGCUUGUAAGACAGGGAAGAUGGGAGGCUGAUUUGAAAAUAUGAGAAAAGAGAGAAAAUGGGGGUACAAACAAACCACAGAUGUGGAAGAAACUAGGCUCUUUGUGUGUGUGUCUGGGGGGUGGGGGGCAGCCCUUACAUCAGUCACCAUAUCCAUUAUUCUCUCACCUGAAGAUUUUCCUCCCCCAUUCCUUUGUUCUGGACCUCUUCCCAAGAAAGCUUUCCCUGCUAUUGCCAGAGGGAUUCUAUAUACUUAUUCAGUGGUUCAUUGAAGAUACACAAAUGUCUUUAAUUCAGCCUAGCAGCCCCAUUGCCCAAGGGCUACUCACAGAAUUCCUUUCCAGCCUAGUUACCAUGGCCCGGAGGGAUGUCACUCACCACCUCAGCCUUCUACUGACUUCCAUAAAUCUUCCUUCUCCUUCAGAACCUCAUUUCCAGUAGCCCUACACCUGGCAGCCCUUCCUAACAGUCUCAGACCAAGUCAAGUCUAGGCAUUGCCUCACUUCUCCCGCUAAUCAGUGGCAGUUUUCCAUUUGCUGGUGUGAUUCGAUCCAUGCUUGCUACUCCAUUUGACGGUAAGCUGCCUAAGGGCAGGAUUUUUCUUUCCUCAGAGGCACUCAAACAUAGUCUAAUUGAGCCAGAAGCAGCGAGAGAAUUAAAAAAAAAAAAAAAAAAAAAGAAGCAGCAGGGAGAGAACAGUGGGGGUACUGAUAGAGAAACUAACCUCUUGCAUAAGGUGUUGACAAAUUUCUCAUUCUCUUUCCUUUACUCCCCACAGCAGCCUGGCGACAAUUUAUUAUUUUGUUUUUCAGAUGCUGAGGCUCAGGGACUAUGGGAACACAGGUAGGCAUUUCAGAAGGACACAAAAUCCCUAACUAAAUCCUUUCCAGUGUCCCCAAGGUGGGGGGUACAGGACAAAUUAACAUUUGUAUGGCAUUUUACAUCUCUAUAGCAGCUUUCCACUCGUAUUCAGGUUUUAUGUUUGCAGAGCCUUACUUACAAACUCCUCACUUUGGGGCCAGAUUAAAGCCUUAAAAUUGAGAGGGCAAAAAUGAUGGUUCUAAGAGACUCUUGAAAGUGCUCAGAUUCCCUUAGCACCGUGGCUCGAUUCCACUGCAAAGUGUCAAAGCAUCUCUGCCUUUCUUUUUUCUUUUUUUUGGAAGUAGGCUCUACGCCUGGCCUGGAACCCAUUGCAGGGCUUGAACUGACUAGGAGAGACCAUGAGGUCAAAAGUCGGAUGCUUUGCCAGCUGAGCCACUACGUGCCCCCCAAAGCCUCUCCUACCUUUAAUUUCUGUGGUGCUGGUCAAUAUGUCUGGCUUUGGAUAAUUCCCUAGGCCCAGUGGCCCUGGGCAAAGAUAGGUUCGGCACUUUCGGUUUAGGACCAGUGUUUGUUGAGGGCAAAUCAAAGAAUCUAAUUCUCCUACAACCUCAGCUCCAUUACCUCUUCCUAAAGUUUCCCCCUCCCCUCCCCUUUUCUCCGGUUACCACUCCUCUUCAGCCUAGAUACGAAAUUCUUAUUGUGGGAUGGGAUAAACCAUCUUUUCAAAACAGAAAUAGGAAGCCCCAUUUCUUCUUGUUCCUCCCUCCCCAAUUUAGCAGGAUGCAAUCCUUAGUUAGGACUUUACGGUUGUUGUUGUCGUUUUUUAACCAGAGAAAAUUCUAAAGCACAUUCUUUUCUCCUCAAAAGAAGGAUCAAGUAUACUUAGCAGGAGAGAGAAACACGAGACUCUCACAGACAGAAACAAACCCAUUAAAAUUGUAUUUACCUUUUUGCCUUUUGCUUUCUCCAUAUCCAAAGAGAAGUCAAGGUUGACAAAAAGUCUUACUCCUGAAAUGGCCCCGGGCCCAAAAUUGCUCCUUUAAAAGUCUCCUCCCACUUCCUGUCACCCAAAGGCGCUCUUCUUUUUCUCCUUCCUCUCCCUCCUCCCCCGCCUCUCC
rnacentral:lncRNA from 1 species